rnacentral:rRNA from 1 species
AUGAACGCUGGCGGCGUGCCUAAUACAUGCAAGUCGCGCGAACAGACGAGGAGCUUGCUCCUCUGACGUUAGCGGCGGACGGGUGAGUAACACGUGGAUAACCUACCUAUAAGACUGGGAUAACUUCGGGAAACCGGAGCUAAUACCGGAUAAUAUAUUGAACCGCAUGGUUCAAUAGUGAAAGACGGUUUUGCUGUCACUUAUAGAUGGAUCCGCGCCGCAUUAGCUAGUUGGUAAGGUAACGGCUUACCAAGGCAACGAUGCGUAGCCGACCUGAGAGGGUGAUCGGCCACACUGGAACUGAGACACGGUCCAGACUCCUACGGGAGGCAGCAGUAGGGAAUCUUCCGCAAUGGGCGAAAGCCUGACGGAGCAACGCCGCGUGAGUGAUGAAGGUCUUCGGAUCGUAAAACUCUGUUAUUAGGGAAGAACAAAUGUGUAAGUAACUAUGCACGUCUUGACGGGACCUAAUCAGAAAGCCACGGCUAACUACGU